UGAAUACGAGACGCUAAGGCGUCGAAGUAGUGUAUGUCAUACUUCCAAGAAAAGCUUGCACUGUCAUAGAUAAAAAACGCCUGUACCAUAACCGACACAGGUGGGUAGGUAGAGUAUACUAAGGGGCGCGAGAUAACUCUCUCUAAGGAACUCGGCAAAAUAACUCCGUAACUUCGGGGGAAGGAGUGCCUUAUUCGUAAGGUUGCAAUAACAAGAUCCAAGCAACUGUUUAUCAAAAACACAGGUCUCCGCUAAGUCGUAAGACGAUGUAUGGGGGCUGACGCCUGCCCAGUGCCAGAAGGUUAAAGAAGUUGGUUAGCAAUUGCGAAGCUGAUAACUGAAGCCCUGGUGAACGGCGGCCGUAACUAUAACGGUCCUAAGGUAGCGAAAUUCCUUGUCGGGUAAGUUCCGACCCGCACGAAAGGCGUAAUGAUUUGGAUACUGUCUCGGAGAGGGGCUCGGUGAAAUAGACUUGUCUGUGAAGAUGCGGACUACCUGCACCAGGACAGAAAGACCCUAUGAAGCUUUACUGUAACUUGAAAUUGAAAUUGGACUUUAUUCGCGCAGUAUAGGUGGGAGGCGUUGAUUAUAAUCUUGUGGGAUUAUUGGAGCCAUCAGUGAGAUACCACUCUUGUAAUGUUAGAUUUCUAACUUUGAAUCAUUAUCUGGUCAAAGAACAGUUUCAGGCGGGCAGUUUGACUGGGGCGGUCGCCUCCUAAACGGUAACGGAGGCGUACAAAGGUUUCCUCUGAACGGUUAGAAAUCGUAUCUAGAGUGUAAAGGCAUAAGGAAGCUUGACUGUGAGACCUACAAGUCGAGCAGGGACGAAAGUCGGUCUUAGUGAUCUGACGGUACUGAGUGGAAAGGCCGUCACUCAACGGAUAAAAGUUACUCUAGGAUAACAGGCUGAUCUCCCCCAAGAGUUCACAUCGACGGGGAGGUUUGGCACCUCGAUGUCGGCUCAUCGCAUCCUGGGGCGGUAGUGCGUCCCAAGGGUUGGGCUGUUCGCCCAUGAAAGCGGUACGCGAGCUGGGUUCAGAACGUCGUGAGACAGUUCGGUCCAUAUCCGGUGUAGGCGUUAGAAUAUUGAGAGGAGCCUUCUUUAGUACGAGAGGACCGAGAAGGACAUACCUCUGGUGUACCAGUUAUCGUGCCAACGGUAAACGCUGGGUAGCUAUGUAUGGAGUGGAUAACCGCUGAAAGCAUCUAAGUGGGAAGCCCACCUCAAGAUAAG
rnacentral:rRNA from 1 species